AACGAACGCUGGCGGCAUGCCUAACACAUGCAAGUCGAACGAGACCUUCGGGUCUAGUGGCGCACGGGUGCGUAACGCGUGGGAACCUGCCCUUAGGUUCGGAAUAACUCCCCGAAAGGGGUGCUAAUACCGGAUAAUGUCUUCGGACCAAAGAUUUAUCGCCUUUGGAUGGGCCCGCGUUGGAUUAGCUAGUUGGUAGGGUAAAAGCCUACCAAGGCGACGAUCCAUAGCUGGUCUGAGAGGAUGAUCAGCCACACUGGGACUGAGACACGGCCCAGACUCCUACGGGAGGCAGCAGUGGGGAAUAUUGGACAAUGGGCGCAAGCGUGAUCCAGCAAUGCCGCGUGAGUGAUGAAGGCCUUAGGGUUGUAAAGCUCUUUUACCCGGGAUGAUAAUGACAGUACCGGGAGAAUAAGCUCCGGCUAACUCCGUG
rnacentral:rRNA from 1 species